rnacentral:rRNA from 1 species
AUUGAACGCUGGCGGCAUGCUUUACACAUGCAAGUCGAACGGUAACAGGUUAAGCUGACGAGUGGCGAACGGGUGAGUAAUGCAUCGGAACGUGCCCGAUCGUGGGGGAUAACGCAGCGAAAGCUGCGCUAAUACCGCAUACGAUCUGAGGAUGAAGGCGGGGGACCGUAAGGCCUCGCGCGAUCGGAGCGGCCGAUGUCAGAUUAGGUAGUUGGUGGGGUAAAGGCCCACCAAGCCGACGAUCUGUAGCUGGUCUGAGAGGACGACCAGCCACACUGGGACUGAGACACGGCCCAGACUCCUACGGGAGGCAGCAGUGGGGAAUUUUGGACAAUGGGCGAAAGCCUGAUCCAGCAAUGCCGCGUGCAGGAGGAAGGCCUUCGGGUUGUAAACUGCUUUUGUACGGAGCGAAAAGGUCUCCUCUAAUACAGGGGGCUCAUGACGGUACCGUAAGAAUAAGCACCGGCUAACUACGUGCCAGCAGCCGCUGUAA